GGUUAAGCGACUAAGCGUACACGGUGGAUGCCUUGGCAGUCAGAGGCGAUGAAGGACGUGCUAAUCUGCGAUAAGCGUCGGUAAGGUGAUAUGAACCGUUAUAACCGGCGAUUUCCG
rnacentral:rRNA from 1 species